rnacentral:misc_RNA from 1 species
GAUGAAGAACGUAGCGAAAUGCGAUAAGUAAUGUGAAUUGCAGAAUUCAGUGAAUCAUCGAAUCUUUGAACGCACCUUGCGCUCUUUGGUAUUCCGAAGAGCAUGCCUGUUUGAGUGUCAUGAAAAUAUCAACCUUGACUUGGGUUUUGUGCUCUAGUCUCGGCUUGGAAUUGGGUGCUUGCCGCAUUUACGAGCGGCUCACCUUAAAUGUAUUAGCUGGAUCUGUCUUUGAGACUUGGUUUGACUUGGCGUAAUAAGUAUUUCGCUAAGGACAUUCUUCGGAGUGGCCUCGUUUCUAGGACGCUUGUCCGCUUUCCAAUACAAGUUCCACCUCGUGGACAUGACUUUUUAUUAUCUGGCCUCAAAUCAGGUAGGACUACCCGCUGAACUUAAGCAUAUCAAUAAGCGGAGGA